AACACAAUUACACUAAUCGCGCACUCAUUAGGUGUACCGCUAUGUCUUCUAACAUUAACACUCUAAACAUUAUCUUACACAAAUAUCGAAAUCAUUUUAAUGAAUAUUAGUUCAAACCAACAAACCAAUUGUAAUUUUAAAAUGUAGAGCACAAACUACAUAAAAGUAACGAAAUAUACACACUAGAUAACAUAAGAAAUCAUUGAAAAUAACUUUAUUCAUACUUUUACUCUCAACGAAACUUAUAAAAUAAAUAGUGUAGAAUGAGAAAAAAAAACCUGAAUAAUGAAUUAAUUAAAAAGGAACCCGAUGGACGUCACCGAAAACUCAACCGGAACUUCAAACUCAAACUCUCCUUCUUAUAUUUUUUUUUCUUGGUUUUUCUUCUUCUUCUCCCGUGUGCGUGUGUGUAAUAUGUAAUAUGUAGUUGUAGUUGUCGUCCGUGGUGUAGUGUGCAUGUGCAUAUAUAUAUUCUAUCUAGUGCAUGUGUGUGUAGUAGUUAUAUAUAGUAGUGCAUAUAUAGUAGUCUUUGUAGUGUCUGUCCUCUAUAUAAUAUGUAGUGUAGUGGUAUAUAUAGUAUAGUGUAGUGUGUUAGUUUCUUGUUUUUGGUUUCCGUGUGUGUGUAUAUGUAGUGGUAGUAUGUGUGUAGUGUAUGUAGUAUAGUGGUGUUUGUGUUGUGUGUGGG
rnacentral:lncRNA from 1 species